rnacentral:rRNA from 2 species
CCUCGCUCAGUACGAACGCUGGCGGCGUGCCUAAUACAUGCAAGUCGAACGAACUCUGGUAUUGAUUGGUGCUUGCAUCAUGAUUUACAUUUGAGUGAGUGGCGAACUCGUGAGUAACACGUGGGAAACCUGCCCAGAAGCGGGGGAUAACACCUGGAAACAGAUGCUAAUACCGCAUAACAACUUGGACCGCAUGGUCCGAGCUUGAAAGAUGGCUUCGGCUAUCACUUUUGGAUGGUCCCGCGGCGUAUUAGCUAGAUGGUGGGGUAACGGCUCACCAUGGCAAUGAUACGUAGCCGACCUGAGAGCGUAAUCGGCCACAUUGGGACUGAGACACGGCCCAAACUCUACGGGAGGCUAGCAGUAGGGAAUCUUCCACAAUGGACGAAAGUCUGAUGGAGCACGGCCGCGUGAGUGAAGAAGGUUUCUGCUCUAAAUUCUUUGUCCAGAAGACAUAUCUUUCUCCUUCUGCUUU